GUGUUCCCUAUCGCAUAUACUAAAAUUGGAGCAAUACCAAGAUGGUAAGCAUGGGCCCUGUACAAGGAGGACACUCAAAUUCAUGAAGCAUUUGAUAUUUAU